rnacentral:rRNA from 1 species
GGAAGCCAAAUAAGGGCGUACGGAGGAUGCCUAGGCUCUCAGAGGCGACGAAGGACGUGGCAAGCUGCGAAAAGCCGUGGGGAGGUGCAAGCGACCGAUAAUCCAACGAUGUCCGAAUGGGGAAACCCAUCCCGCACCUAAAUGUGUUUUGAUGUUAGAAAGCUAAAAGAGCAGAUUGUUUUUUUGGUGUGAUGAGAAUUCAGAGACAAAUUUAGGUGCGGGAUAUCUCACGUAAGUGAGAAGCGAACCCGGGGAAGUGAAACAUCUCAGUACCCGGAGGAAAAGAAAUCAACCGAGAUUCCGAAAGUAGUGGCGAGCGAAAUUGGAAGAGCCCGAAUGAAAAGGUUAUACAGGUAUAGGAGAACAGGCUGGGAAGCCUGGCUAUAGAGGGUGAAAGCCCCGUAUCCGAAAUGGUGUAUAGAGACUUCAUUCAAAGAGUAGGUCGGGACACGAGAAAUCCUGAUUGAAGAAGUAACGUAAGUUAUAAGGGGGGACCAUCCUCCAAGGCUAAAUACUCCCAAUCGACCGAUAGUGAACAAGUACUGUGAAGGAAAGGUGAAAAGAACCCCGGAGAGGGGAGUGAAAUAGAACCUAAAACCGUAUGCAUACAAGCAGUGGGAGCCAAGUCUUCGGAUUUUGGUGACUGCGUACCUUUUGUAUAAUGGGUCAGCGAGUGACUGUUGGUAGCAAGGUUAAGCAAAGCGAAGCCGAAGCGAAAGCGAGUCUUAAUAGGGCGAGUAGUUGCCAGUAGUCGACCCGAAACCAGGCGAUCUAGUCAUGACCAGGGUGAAGGUCCGGUAACACGGAUUGGAGGCCCGAACCCACUGAUGUUGAAAAAUCAGGGGAUGAGUUGUGAUUAGGGGUGAAAGGCUAAUCAAGCCUGGUAAUAGCUGGUUCUCCCCGAAAGCUAUUGAGGUAGCGUCUUAUAGGAUAACUGAUGGGGGUAGAGCACUGUUUCGGUUUUGGGGGCUGUCAAGGCCUACCAACCCGAUGCAAACUCCGAAUACCAUCAAGUUGUGGACUAUGGGAAACACACUGUGGGUGAUAAGGUCCAUGGUGGAGAGGGAAAGAGCCCAGACCGUCAGCUAAGGUCCCAAAUAGAUAGUUAAGUGUGAAACGAAGUGGGAAGGCAUAGACAGCUAGGAGGUUGGCUUAGAAGCAGCCAACUUUUAAAGAAAGCGUAAUAGCUCACUAGUCGAGUCGGCCUGCGCGGAAGAUGAAUCGGGGCUAAAACUAUCAACCGAAGCUACGGGUCUAAGAGUAGAGAUACUCGACGGGCGGUAGGGGAGCGUUCUGUAAGUCGAAGAAGGUGGAUUGAGAAGUCUGCUGGAGAUAUCAGAAGAGCGAAUGCUGACAUGAGUAACGAUAAUACGGGUGAAAAACCCGUACGCCGAAAGUCUAAGGUUUCCUGCGCUACGUAAAUCGGCGCAGGGUGAGUCGGGACCUAAGGAGUAGCCGAAGGGCGAAUUCGAUGGGAAACAGGUUAAAAUUCCUGUACUGACGUAUAGAGUGAAGUAGUGACGGAGAAGGCUAGGUGAUCCACCGGUUGGAAGAGGUGGUUUAAGCUGGUAGGUGGUGUAUUUAGGCAAAUCCGGAUACACGUUAACACUGAGGAGUGAUGACGAGAGGAGCCGUAAGGUUCUGCAAGUCACUGAUGCCAAGCUUCCAGGAAAAGCUGCUAAACAUAUGUAUACGUUAUCCGUACCGCAAACCGACACAGGUAGACAAGUAGAGAAUACUAAGGCGUUGAGAUAACUCGGGUGAAGGAACUAGGCAAAAUGACACCGUAACUUCGGGAGAAGGUGUGCUCUUUUGGGUGAAGGUCUUUACGACUGGAGCGCGAGAGAGUGGAAGAAAGCGGGUGGUUGCGACUGUUUAUUAAAAACACAGCACUCUGCAAACUCGUAAGAGGAAGUAUAGGGUGUGACGCCUGCCCGGUGCUGGAAGGUUAAUUGAUGUGGUUAGCAGAAAUGCGAAGCUACUGAUCGAAGCCCCAGUAAACGGCGGCCGUAACUAUAACGGUCCUAAGGUAGCGAAAUUCCUUGUCGGGUAAGUUCCGACCUGCACGAAUGGCGUAACGAUAGCCACACUGUCUCCACCCGAGACUCAGUGAAGUUGAAAUCGCUGUGAAGAUGCAGUGUACCCGCGGCUAGACGGAAAGACCCCGUGCACCUUUACUAUAGCUUUACACUGGAUUUUGAUGAUUUCUGUGUAGGAUAGGUGGGAGACUAAGAGAUGUUGACGCUAGUUAGCAAGGAGUCGACGUUGAAAUACCACCCUGAGAUUAUUGAAGUUCUAACCAGAAGGUAGAACCUUUGGGACAGUGUAUGGUGGGUAGUUUGACUGGGGCGGUCUCCUCCUAAAGAGUAACGGAGGAGCGCGAAGGUGUCCUCGAUGCGGUUGGAAAUCGCGUUGUGAGUGUAAAAGCAGAAGGACGCUUGACUGUGAGACGUACAAGUCGAGCAGGUGCGAAAGCAGGCUUUAGUGAUCCGGUGGUUCUGAAUGGAAGGGCCAUCGCUCAACGGAUAAAAGGUACGCCGGGGAUAACAGGCUGAUACCGCCCAAGAGUUCCUAUCGACGGCGGUGUUUGGCACCUCGAUGUCGACUCAUCACAUCCUGGGGCUGAAGCGGGUCCCAAGGGUAUGGCUGUUCGCCAUUUAAAGUGGUACGUGAGUUGGGUUUAGAACGUCGUGAGACAGUUCGGUUCCUAUCUACCGUGGGCGUAGGAUAUUUGAGAGGGUCUGUUCCUAGUACGAGAGGACCGGAAUGGACGUACCGCUGGUGUCCCGGUUGUUUCGCCAGAAGCAUAGCCGGGUAGCUACGUACGGACUGGAUAAGCGCUGAAAGCAUCUAAGUGCGAAGCCAUCCUCAAGAUGAGAUAUCCCUGAAGGUCUGUUGAAGACUACAACGUUGAUAGGCGGCAUGUGUAAGCAUCGUGAGGUGUUGAGCUAAGCCGUACUAAUUGGCCGAAUGACGUGUAUCG